rnacentral:lncRNA from 1 species
CACAACACUGAGUAGCAUAAUGGAAGUCCUAACAGAGUCACUGAAGUUCUGAUGUGCAUUUCAGCAAGUUCACUGUCUGCUUUUGGAGAAGGGGUAAAGCAACUGGCGAGG